rnacentral:rRNA from 1 species
GACGAACGCUGGCGGCGUGCUUAACACAUGCAAGUCGAACGGAAAGGCCCUGCUUUUGUGGGGUGCUCGAGUGGCGAACGGGUGAGUAACACGUGAGUAACCUGCCCUUGACUUUGGGAUAACUUCAGGAAACUGGGGCUAAUACCGGAUAGGAGCUCCUGCUGCAUGGUGAGGGUUGGAAAGUUUCGGCGGUUGGGGAUGGACUCGCGGCUUAUCAGCUUGUUGGUGGGGUAGUGGCUUACCAAGGCUUUGACGGGUAGCCGGCCUGAGAGGGUGACCGGCCACAUUGGGCCUGAGAUACGGCCCAGACUCCUACGGGAGGCAGCAGUGGGGAAUAUUGCACAAUGGGCGGAAGCCUGAUGCAGCAACGCCGCGUGCGGGAUGACGGCCUUCGGGUUGUAAACCGCUUUCGCCUGUGACGAAGCGUGAGUGACGGUAAUGGGUAAAGAAGCACCGGCUAACUACGUG